GCUGAAUAUAGUGACACACGCCUGUAAUCCCAGCACUCUUGGAGGCUGAGGCAGAAGGAUGAUUUCCUGGGUGUCGUCUGGGUGCCUGGCCCAGUUCCAGCAGAGGGAUGAAGAGGAAGAACACUGUCCCUCCAGAGCAGUCACAGUGCACUCUGUGCUACAGGGGCAGCAUGUUCCUUCAGGCAAAUGUGCAUAUCAGUGGCUCAAUAAAUAGGAAUGCAGUUAAAUGAGGCACAGACAGCAGGAUAAUAAAAAGAAAUUAGUGACUUCCACAAAGGGAGCAGCACAGCAG
ensembl:lncRNA